rnacentral:rRNA from 1 species
UACGGGGGGAGCAAGCGUUGUUCGGAUUUACUGGGCGUAAAGGGCGCGUAGGCGGUCGUGACAAGUCACUUGUGAAAUCUCCGAGCUUAACUCGGAACGGUCAGCUGAUACUGCUGUGCUAGAGUGCAGAAGGGGCAAUCGGAAUUCUUGGUGUAGCGGUGAAAUGCGUAGAUAUCAAGAGGAACACCUGAGGUGAAGACGGGUUGCUGGGCUGACACUGACGCUGAGGCGCGAAAGCUAGGGUAGCAAACGGG